AAGAAAGCAUAGACAUUUAGUCUAUUAAUGGCAACAUUUCCAGGACAGUUACAGUUAAAAACAUGACUGACAAAGAAGUUUGUUUAUAUCUGUGGUUUACAAUAACUUUACCUUUAAUUAUGAUUGA